rnacentral:rRNA from 1 species
GCCAGCACCAUAUCACCCUGCAACUCACAACUGACAACCCACUGAAGCUAAGCAGGUGUGAGCCCAGUCAGUACCCGGAUGGGAACCUCCUGGGAAAUCUAAGGGUGAUGCUGGAA